rnacentral:tRNA from 1 species
GCGAAAGUGGCGGAAUCUGGUAGACGCGCUGGACUUAGGAUCCAGUCCUUUCCGGGUGGGGGUUCAAAUCCCCCCUUUCGCA